rnacentral:rRNA from 1 species
AUUUAAGCAUAUACUUAAGCGGAGGAAAAGAAACUAACUAGGAUUCCCUCAGUAACGGCGAGUGAAGCGGGAAGAGCUCAAAUUUGAAAUCUGGUAGCCUUCGGUUGCCCGAGUUGUAAUCUAGAGAAGUGUUUUCCGCGUUGGCCCAUGUACAAGUCCCUUGGAACAGGGCGUCAUAGAGGGUGAGAAUCCCGUCCUUGACAUGGACCCCCAAUGCUUUGUGAUACACUUUCAACGAGUCGAGUUGUUUGGGAAUGCAGCUCAAAAUGGGUGGUGAAUUCCAUCUAAAGCUAAAUAUUGGCGAGAGACCGAUAGCGAACAAGUACCGUGAGGGAAAGAUGAAAAGCACUUUGGAAAGAGAGUUAAACAGUACGUGAAAUUGUUGAAAGGGAAACGAUUGAAGUCAGUCAUGCUCUUUGGAUUAAGCCGUUCUGCGGUGUAUUUCAUUGAGCGGGGUCAACAUCAGUUUUGAUCGCUGGAAAAGGGCAGGAGGAAGGUAGCACUCUCGGGUGAACUUAUAGCCUCUUGUCGUAUACAGUGAUUGGGACUGAGGAACGCAGCAUGCCUUUUGGCCGGGAUUCGUCCACGUACAUGCUUAGGAUGUUGACAUAAUGGCUUUAAACGACCCGUCUUGUAACACGGACCAAGG